rnacentral:rRNA from 1 species
GCUAACUACGUGCCAGCAGCCGCGGUAAUACGUAGGGCGCAAGCGUUGUCCGGAAUUAUUGGGCGUAAAGAGCUCGUAGGCGGUUUGUCGCGUCUGCCGUGAAAUCCUCAGGCUUAACCUGGGGCGUGCGGUGGGUACGGGCAGGCUAGAGUGCGGUAGGGGAGAUUGGAAUUCCUGGUGUAGCGGUGGAAUGCGCAGAUAUCAGGAGGAACACCGAUGGCGAAGGCAGAUCUCUGGGCCGCUACUGACGCUGAGGAGCGAAAGCAUGGGGAGCGAACAGGAUUAGAUACCCUGGUAGUC